UACGUAGGGGGCAAGCGUUGUCCGGAUUUAUUGGGCGUAAAGAGCGUGUAGGUGGCUUCGUAAGUCCGUUGUGAAAGUCAAAGGCUCAACCUUUGAAAGCCGAUGGAUACUGCGGAGCUAGAGUACGGAAGAGGCGAGUGGAAUUCCUGGUGUAGCGGUGGAAUGCGCAGAUAUCAGGAGGAACACCAAUAGCGAAGGCAGCUCGCUGGGACGUUACUGACACUGAGGCGCGAAAGCGUGGGGAGCGAACAGG
rnacentral:rRNA from 1 species